CAAUAGCGUAUAUUUAAGUUGUUGCAGUUAAAAAGCUCGUAGUUGGAUUUUGGGUCGGGGGCACCGGUCCGCCGUUCCGGUGUGCACUGGUGGCCCCUUCCUUUCUGCCGGGGACGUGCGUCGCACUUAAUUGGGUGGCGUUCGGAGUCGGCGUUGUUACUUUGAAAAAAUUAGAGUGUUCAAAGCAAGCCAUCGCUCUGAAUACAUUAGCAUGGAAUAACAUGAUAGGACUCCGGUCUUAUUUUGUUGGUUUCCGAGACUGGAGUAAUGGUUAAGAGGGACAGUCGGGGGCAUCCGUAUUUCAUUGUCAGAGGUGAAAUUCUUGGAUUUAUGAAAGACGAACUUCUGCGAAAGCAUUUGCCAAGGAUGUUUUCAUUAA
rnacentral:rRNA from 1 species